rnacentral:misc_RNA from 1 species
GUGGGGAUUGCAGGGUCUUCUGAAUAUCCAGAGGUUCAGAUGAUAACUCAUAACAUUUUGAUUACACUUGGGGGCUUCCUAAAGGAGAUGUCAAGAAGGCCUAAGGAUUACAAUGAAACGAGAAUGGAGGAGGAGAUGAAGCCGCUACCGGUUAAGGAGCUUGAAUAUGACAUGAAUGAGAUAAAGACUCUUCCUCCACUAGAAAAUUGUGUUCCUGUUAUGCAAUCAGUCUUGCGAACUCAAUCGCGAAAGGAAGACUUGGUGAACUUGAGAGAGGAUGGAGUAUCA